CCUCUUGUGCGGAUAUUGGUGGGUUUGGCGUGGCGGGAUUUGUAUUCUGAGAAAUGACUUCAAAAAGACCCAGCAGGACCAAGAAGCCCAGGAAGAACAACUCUUCUUUCAACUUCCAAACCCUAUUUUCCUCUCUUUCUUCUCCUCAGGGUCUAAAAUCAGAAACACUAGAAGGCUUGUAUUUGCUACUGCUUACUUUAAGCUGCUCUGAUUCCGAAUGCAAUUUAAAUUUCUCGGAAACCGAGUUCAGUUCCAACGAAUUCAAACUCAAAUUCAAGGAUACUCGUGAAAUCUCAGAUGUCUUACACGACAAACUCAAUGCCAAGUUCGAUGAAUUAUUCUCUGCUUUGAAUGAUGCUUCCCCCACCCGAUUCAUUCCCACUCUAUCUUCCAUGUCAAUGUUGAAGCUUCCAUUAAAGAGCUAACUUUGCUUUUGAGAUGCUGCAUUGUAGUUUUCAAACUGCUUGUUUUGGAUCAGAAACUUCUUGUCGAAAAAGGUCGAAUUAUUUUGGGGAUACUAAGGAAAUGUGUUUCUGUGGAGUUAAAGGGAGGUAAUGAAAAACCUUAUAAUAGUUUCGAAAAGGAGGUUUCGCGCAAAUGUAUGUAUGUCGAUAAUGGUGGCACUACUCUCCACGCUGAGCACUUGGUUACUUCCUUAACUUCCUUAAGUUUCGCGGAACUUUCUAAUCCAUUUCAUGCCAUUUUCUGUGCUGUGCUUGAGGUUGUUGCAGACGAGCUUCUGAUGCAUGAAUCAGUGAGGCAGUACCUUUUAUUUGUUGACUCUCUCUCUUGUGGGAAUGAGUUUGUAUUCACACGUCACUUUGGCCAUGGUAAUGUUGGAAGUGUGCUGGAGGUUCUUUCUGCUCACUUUAUACUCUCACUUUCUGAUGA